rnacentral:rRNA from 1 species
ACGGGAGGCAGCAGCUAAGAAUCUUCCGCAAUGGACGAAAGUCUGACGGAGCGACGCCGCGUGAGCGAUGAAGGCCGUGAGGUUGUAAAGCUCUUUUCGGAUGGAGGAAUAAGCGGCCCAGGGAAUGGGGCUGCGAUGACGUUAAAUCCGGAAUAAGCCCCGGCUAACUACGUGCCAGCAGCCGCGGUAACACGUAGGGGGCGAGCGUUGUUCGGAAUCAUUGGGCGUAAAGGGCGCGCAGGCGGCCGAGCAAGUCUGGUGUGAAAUUUCUGGGCUCAACCCAGUCAUGCGCCGGAAACUGCUCGGCUAGAGUACAGGAGGGGGCAUCGGAAUUCCAGGUGUAGGGGUGAAAUCUGUAGAUAUCUGGAAGAACACCGGUGGCGAAGGCGGAUGCCUGGCCAUGUACUGACGCUGAGGCGCGAAGGUGCGGGGAGCAAACAGGAUUAGAUACCCUGGUA